AUAAUGGACAUGGUGAGCAACCA
rnacentral:piRNA from 1 species